rnacentral:rRNA from 1 species
UACAGAGGGUGCGAGCGUUGUCCGGAAUCACUGGGCGUAAAGGGCGCGUAGGUGGCUCUAUAAGUCGGGGGUGAAAUGCUGCGGCUCAACCGCAGCGCUGCCUCCGAGACUGUAGGGCUCGAGCACGGUAGAGGCCGAUGGAAUUCCCGGUGUAGCGGUGGAAUGCGUAGAGAUCGGGAAGAACACCAAUGGCGAAGGCAGUCGGCUGGGACGGUACUGACGCUGAGACGCGAAAGCGUGGGGAGCGAACAGG